rnacentral:lncRNA from 1 species
CCCAAGAUUCAGAGGCAGGAUAGACAGAUCUUUGGCAGGUGCUGAGUUCUUUGAAGCAAAUGAAGCACCACACUUCCCUUUGAUGGCUGGGAGGACAAAAGUCGGAGGGAGAUGCUUUCAUCAGCAAAGGAGAAGGAACAUGGUUAAACUUGGAAACCAUCAUUCUCAGCAAACUAACACAGAAACAGAAAAUCAAACACCGUAUGUUCUACUCACAGGAGGAUGACUGACUGGUACUGAUUUUUGCAAGAGACUGAGUAGAUAAUUCAGCGUGAGACUGCGAGGGUGACUCUGAUAGUAUUUUACAAGAUUUCUUGAAAUAUCUAACAGGUGAGUCUUGAGCACGAGACUGUUUCUUUUCUCAACAAAAGAGCACAAGGCAAGCCCAUUCCUAAGAACUGCUCUCUGGUUCUGUAAACUUCUCUGCCUUUGAAAGUCUGG